UACAGGGGGUGCAAACGUUGCUCGGAAUUAUUGGGCGUAAAGGGCGCGUAGGCGGCCUUUCAAGUGACGGGUGAAAUCCCUCGGCUUAACCGAGGAACUGCCUGUCAGACUGGAAGGCUUGAGACCGGGAGAGGUGAGUGGAAUUCCCAGUGUAGCGGUGAAAUGCGCAGAUAUCAGGAGGAACACCGGUGGCGAAGGCGGGUCUCUGGGCCGAUACUGACGCUGAGGAGCGAAAGCGUGGGGAGCGAACAGG
rnacentral:rRNA from 1 species